AACGAACGCUGGCGGCAUGCCUAACACAUGGAAGUCGAACGAGACCUUCGGGUCUAGUGGCGCACGGGUGCGUAACGCGUGGGAACCUGCCUUUAGGUUCGGAAUAACUCAGAGAAAUUUGAGCUAAUACCGGAUGAUGUCUUCGGACCAAAGAUUUAUCGCCUUUAGAUGGGCCCGCGUUGGAUUAGCUAGUUGGUGGGGUAAAGGCCUACCAAGGCGACGAUCCAUAGCUGGUCUGAGAGGAUGAUCAGCCACACUGGGACUGAGACACGGCCCAGACUCCUACGGGAGGCAGCAGUGGGGAAUAUUGGACAAUGGGCGAAAGCCUGAUCCAGCAAUGCCGCGUGAGUGAUGAAGGCCUUAGGGUUGUAAAGCUCUUUUACCCGAGAUGAUAAUGACAGUAUCGGGAGAAUAAGCUCCGGCUAACUCCGUG
rnacentral:rRNA from 1 species